rnacentral:rRNA from 1 species
GGGUGAUCGUCCACACUGGGAAUGAGACACGGCCCAGACUCCUACGGGAGGCAGCAGUAGGGAAUCUUCGGCAAUGGACGGAAGUCUGACCGAGCAACGCCGCGUGAGUGAAGAAGGUUUUCGGAUCGUAAAGCUCUGUUGUAAGAGAAGAACGAGUGUGAGAGUGGAAAGUUCACACUGUGACGGUAACUUACCAGAAAGGGACGGCUAACUACGUGCCAGCAGCCGCGGUAAUACGUAGGUCCCGAGCGUUAUCCGGAUUUAUUGGGCGUAAAGCGAGCGCAGGCGGUUAGAUAAGUCUGAAGUUAAAGGCUGUGGCUUAACCAUAGUACGCUUUGGAAACUGUUUAACUUGAGUGCAGAAGGGGAGAGUGGAAUUCCAUGUGUAGCGGUGAAAUGCGUAGAUAUAUGGAGGAACACCGGUGGCGAAAGCGGCUCUCUGGUCUGUAACUGACGCUGAGGCUCGAAAGCGUGGGGAGCAAACAGGAUUAGAUACCCUGAUAGUCCACGCCGUAAACGAUGAGUAAUAGGUGUUGGUCCUUUUCCGGGAAUCAGUGCCGCAGCUAACGCAAUAAGCACUCCCCCUGGGGAGUGCGACCGCAAGGUUGAAACUCAAAGGAAUUGACGGGGGCCCGCACAAGCGGUGGAGCAUGUGGUUUAAUUUGAAGCAACGCGAAGAACCUUACCAGGUCUUGACAUCCCUCUGACCGCUCUAGAGAUAGAGUUUUCCUUCGGGACAGAGGUGACAGGUGGUGCAUGGUUGUCGUCAGCUCGUGUCGUGAGAUGUUGGGUUAAGUCCCGCAACGAGCGCAACCCCUAUUGUUAGUUGCCAUCAUUGAGUUGGGCACUCUAGCGAGACUGCCGGUAAUAAACCGGAGGAAGGUGGGGAUGACGUCAAAUCAUCAUGCCCCUUAUGACCUGGGCUACACACGUGCUACAAUGGCUGGUACAACGAGUCGCGAGUCGGUGACGGCAAGCUAAUCUCUUAAAGCCAGUCUCAGUUCGGAUUGUAGGCUGCAACUCGCCUACAUGAAGUCGGAAUCGCUAGUAAUCGCGGAUCAGCACGCCGCGGUGGAUACGUUCCCGGGCCUUGUACACACCGCCCGUCA